rnacentral:rRNA from 1 species
CCUACGCGAGGCAGCAGUGAGGAAUAUUGGUCAAUGGACGAGAGUCUGAACCAGCCACGCAGCGUGAAGGAUGACUGUUCUCUGGGUUGAAAAUUUUUUUUAUAUGGGAAUAAAAUGCUCUAUGUGAGGGAUCUUGUAUGUAUCAUAUGAAUACGGAACGGCUAAUUCCGUGCAAGCAGCCGGCGUAAUACGGAGGAUCCGAGCGUUAUCCGGAUUUAUUGGGGGUAAAGGGAGCGUAGGUGGAUUAUGAAGUCAGUUGUGAAAGUUUGCGGCUCAACCGUAAAAUUGCAGUUGAAACUGGCAGUCUUGAGUACAGUAGAGGUAGGCGGAAUUCGUGGUGUAGCGGUGAAAUGCUUAGAUAUCACGAAGAACUCCGAUUGCGAAGGCAGCUCACUGGACUGUAACUGACACUGAGGCUCGAAAGUGUGGGGAUCAAACAGGAUUAGAUACCCGAGUAGUC